CCUACGUGUGGCAGCAGUGGGGGAUAUUGCACAAUGGGGGAAACCCUGAUGCAGCGACGCCGCGUGUGGGAAGACGGCCCUCUGGAUUGUAAACCACUGUCCCCAGGGACGAAGAUGACGGAACCUGGGGAGGAAGCUACGGCGAACUCCGGGCCAGCAGCCGCGGUAAUAUGGAGGGAGCGAGCGUUGUCCGGAAUUACCGGGUGUAAGGGGAGGGUAGGCGGGACUGCAAGUUGGUUGUCAAAUCUACCGGCUCAACCGGUAGCCGCACUCAAAACUGCAGUUCUUGAGUGAAGUAGAGGCAGGCGGAAUUCCUGGUGUAGCGGUGAAAUGCGUAGAUAUUAGGAAGAACACCAGUGGCGAAGGCGGCCUGCUGGGCUUUUACUGACGCUGAGGCUCGAAAGUGUGGGGAGCAAACAGGAUUAGAUACCCCAGUAGUC
rnacentral:rRNA from 1 species